UGAGUUAAGAUUUAAGACUUUUGCAACUGAAUUGUAUAGUUUGUUUUUAUUGUGUACUUUUACACCACUGUCCCAGGUAAGGGGAGGGUUGGGCCCCAGCUAACAUGUUUAACCUCGAUGCAUUAUGUAUGUAUGUGUCUGUCCCAAUUAAGGAAUUAAAAUAAAGCAGAAACAAGAUGAUAUGGGUCAGAAUUUUUACCUCUUAUAGAAUGGUGUAAAAUUAAACCGGCUGUUAUACAGUCUACUGAUCACCAAAGUGUAUUUUUAAAAUUUAAGCCAGGGUUAUCAGAAAGGGGAAAUGGGUAUUGGAAAAUAAAUAACUCAGUAUUACAAAAUAAAGAUUAUCAAGAAUGUAUAAAAUGUUUAAUUGAUAAAUAUACAUUUAAAAAAGACUCAAUAGAUUGUAGGCUUUUAUGGGAUGGAUUUAAAAUCGAGGUAAGGGAAGUAACUACAACUUACUGUAGAAAUAAAGCGAAGUUAACAAGAGAGCGAAGGCGUAGUUUAGAACAAGAUCUGGAACAAAAGAUGGAACUUAUAGAUGAGAGAAAUAAUGAUGAAAAUCAAAAUUUGGAAAAAGAAAUUAAAGAUAUAGAAAAAGAAUUAAGUAACAUUUAUGACGAAAAGGCAAGAGGGGCACAAAUUAGAUCUAGAGAAAAAUGGGUUGAGUUUGGGGAAAAGAACAAUUCCUACUUCCUCGGUCUAGAAAAGAAGAGGCAAGUGAAAAAAUCAAUAAGCAAACUAAAAGGAGAGGAUGGGGAAUUAAUUACUAAUCAAGAAAAUUUACUCCAUAAAAUAAAAAAUUUCUAUGAAAACUUGUAUAAUGUAAAAUCUGCAAAUAAAAAUUUAACUGAAAAAUAUAUAUCAAUGACACAAAAUUAGAAAAUCAAGUAGACGAAAAGGAUAAAACUGAUAUGCGAUGGAAAAGUUACAGUAGAGGAAUGCACGCAAGGCAUUUAUAAAAUGAAACUAAAUAAAUCACCAGGGCUUGAUGGUCUAACGGUUGAAUUUUAUAGACAAUUUUGGGAUAAACUUAAAUUUUUAGUUGUGGAUGUUCUAAAUACUGGCUACGAUAAACAAAGUUUAUCAUACUCACAACGUACCAGUAUAUUAACUUUAAUAUUUAAAAAAGGAGAUCCUUUACUUUUGGAAAACUACCGUCCAAUUUCACUUCUAAAUGUAGAUUUUAAACUUUUGUCAUAUGUUCUAGCUCAAAGAUUAAAAAAGGUACUGCCAAAAAUUAUAAAUGAAGACCAAACCGGUUAUGUUAAAAACAGAUUUAUUGGGUUUAAUUUGAGACAAAUUCAAGAUGUAAUAGACUACGCAGACACAUAUAAUAUUAAGGGGGCAUUAGUUUUUGUAGAUUUUACAAAAGCGUUCGAUUCAUUGGAAUGGGAUUUUAUGUUUGGAACAUUGAAACAUUUUGGUUUUAACGAUUCAUUUAUUAACUGGGUUAAAGCAAUGUACACAGAUAUACAAACAUGUGUUAUGAACAAUGGGUGGGUAUCAGAAACUUUCAAAAAUUCACGUGGAAUAAGACAAGGCUGUCCUUUAUCGGCUCUUUUAUUUGUUUUGGCUGUUGAAAUUAUGGCCCAGAGAUUAAGAAAUAAUAAAAAUGUAAAAGGAAUUAAUAUAAAAUUAGAUGGGCAAAGUCAUAGUAUCAAGAUUUCACAAUUAGCAGACGACACAACACUAUUUUGCAAGGAUAAAAACGAUGUGGUAGCUGCAAUGAACGAAAUAGAAAUUUUUGGUUCCUUUUCAGGUUUACUACUAAAUAGAAAUAAAACAGAGGGAUUAUGGAUUGGAAAAUUGAAAUCUUGUAAAGAUAAAAUUGUCGGGAUUAAGUGGGGAGAUAAACCUAUUAAAGCUUUAGGGGUGUUUUUCGGACAUGACAAAGAAGAAUGCAAAAAGUUAAACUGGAAUGGUAAAAUAGAAAAGAUGAAUAAAUUAUUUAUGAUAUGGAAAAAACGAAAUCUUUCUAUUUUAGGAAAAAUCCUAAUUAUAAAGACUUUAAUAUUGCCUUUGUUUACUUUCUUGGGAAGCGUAUGUCUAACCCCAGAAAAUUAUAUAAAAGAAAUAGAAAACAGUAGCUAUAAAUAUAUUUGGGAUGGGAAACCAGACAAGAUUAAAAGAAACAUGAUGAUUGGUCCAUAUGAGAAGGGGGUCUUAAAAUGGUAGACUUUAAAAGUUAUUUUGUGGCUUUAAAAGCAUCAUGGGUAAAUAGAUUGGUAAAUGGUAAACUUGAGACUUGGAAGCUUAUACCAUUUAAAUACUUAAAUGUCUCAAACAAUAUUUUGUCAAUAUUUAAUAUGAAUUUUAGUGAUAUCAAAUCUUUAAGAUAUCUUAAAGAUAUUCCUGUGUUUUAUAAAGAAGUAAUAAAGUCUUGGAAUUUGACUGGCGGGGGGCAAACAAAACAACCAGACACAUUUUUUUGAUAUUAGAAAGCAAGUAAUAUGGGGAAAUAAAUCUAUAAAAUUUGAUAAUAAACCAAUCAUAUUUGAGAACUGGAUUAAGAGUGAUUUAAUUUACAUAAAUGAUAUCUUAGAUGAUAAAAUGUCAUUAUCAGAAAUCUACAUUCUAAACAAAUUAAAGUUAAAAAUAAACUGGAUCGCCGAAUUUCAAAAAUUAAAAAAAUCUAUACCAGCAGAAUGGAUUCAAAUUGUUCAAAAAGAGAGUUCUGUCAAAACUACAAUUAAUAUUCAGAGAAAUAAAAUCGUAUGGAAAAAUAAUUUUAUUGAGACUACAUUAUUAACAAAAUAAAAUGUUAUACAACUCUUUGGUAAAUACAAAACUAGAGUCGUCAAUAGGGAUAAACAGAUGGCUUAGAAUCCUACCAAUACAAGAAACUCUUAAUAUGAAUUCAUUGUACAAAUUUAUUUUUGAAUAUAUGACUGAAAAUAAAUUAAAAAUAUUUAGAUGGAAAUUAUUACAUUAUAUUGUUCCAACUAAAAAACUGUUAUUGCAGUGGAAAGUAACUAAGACAGAUAAAUGUAAUUUUUGUAAGCAAGAAGAAGAAGAUUAUGCUCACUAUUUUUUGAAGUGUAGAUAUUUGAAUAAAUUUUGGCAAAAAAAUCUAUGAACUCUUUAGAAGAAGUAAAAUAGAUUUUGAUAUUAAAUUGCAACAUCUGGUAUUUGGAUAUAAAAUCACAGAUAGUAAUUAUUAUUUUCUGAAUUAUAUACUAACAGUAUUAAGUUUUUCUAUAUAUAAGUCAUACUAUGUAUCCGAGCAGAGAACAAAAACUGUUGAUGUCUUUAGCAUUUUUGAAAAUGAAUUUAAUAAAAGAAUAGAUGCAUAUAAAUCAAGAUGUCCAAUAUUAUUGUCAAUUAGAAAGAAUUUUUAGCAUUGAUAAAUCUCUGCAUAAGACAACUAUACAACUUUAUAUUAUUUUUUAUAACUUAAUAAGUUUGAUCAGCUGUUUAUUUCCCUGGAUAAUCAGUGGAGUGUAACAGGGUAAAUCAAGAGAAGCUUGGACUCUUGGUGAAACUUGUAACAAGCAAGAUUAGAUGAAUAAAUAUUAUUAUGUUGUUAAAAAAAAAAAAAGAACAAGAUGAUAUGGUAUAGAACCCACAUCAGCACUUUUUACGUGUUAUGGCAAGAAAAUUUCGUUUUGUACGAAAGUCAGAAAUAAUAAUCAAAAAGGUACAUGUAGCUCUCAUACGAUUACAUGUAUUCAUAGAAUUCAGAGAAAAGUGAUUGUAUGUACUUACAAUAAAGAGUAGUGAAGAAAAAUGUUUAACUUACAUGAGUGAGAGCUAUUCUUAAACAAAAGCAGGUAAUGUAAAAAUAUAUUAUAAAUUGACAAUACAGCUUAAUAUAUUAUAUAAACAUGUUUUUGUUUAUAAGAAGGAUUACGAAUACAUUAGAAUAUACAUCUUGUAAACAUGAAAAAAAUGCUAUUUAAUCUUGUUUUUAAUCGAACAUGUUAUUUGUACAUUAGGUUGAUAUCUAUGUCUCAUGAUAUGUAAAAAUCUGUAUACCAAAAUCGUCGCGAUAUAACUGUUCACGAAAGUACUACCUAAUCACGUUCAAGAUAAUCUCAAGAAAGUUAACAAUUGUCAUUUUUAUCAAUUCAAAUUAAAUACAAACCUACUGUUUUCUUAAGCUUUCCCAAGACUUAAACUUUAUGGUAAUUAGUUAUCAAAGGUACCAGGAUUAUAAUUUACUACGUCAGGCGCGCGUUUCGUCUACACAAGACUCAUCAGUAACGUUCAUAUCAAAAUAUUAAUAAAGCCAAACAAGUACAAAGUUGAGGAGCAUUAAAGACACACACUUGAAACGUUAUAAGUUGAGACAAUUUAGCUGGCAAAUAUCGUCAAUGCCUAAGCGAGAGGGAUAGCACAAUAAUGAAAACCUGGUGGAUUCGCAUGAUCUCCAAAAGGAUAGAGCCCUGAUGCUUGAAAGGGCAUGCAUGUCCUGCUUUGACUACAUUGUCCACCAUGCAAAUUCACAAUCAGUGAAAAUAUCACAAUCGAGAAUAGGACAUAAUCGAUUAAUUUCGGAUCAGACAACUAUAUUACUGGUAUUUGUAUAUCCGAUACCAUUAAAACAUGC
rnacentral:lncRNA from 1 species